AAAUACGCCCAUAUGUUUUCAGAUCCAUCAGUUAGCUAGAUGCUAAUGCUAUUUCUGUAUAGAUCAUAUAUUCUUAGGGGUUUUCCAAUACCUUUGGAUUACAGGAAACGCCUAAAAUAGCAGAAAAAUAGUCCCCUUAGUGAGUCUCUUCCUGUGUUAUCUCAGCAUCACCUUUCCCGUCAUGCGUUUCUUAGAGUAGUACUUUUGUAAUAUCGAUACUGUAGACAUUCAGUGUGUUUGCCUCUUGCAUCAGCCUUCAUUUGCAGUUCCUUUCUCAGCCUUUGUGAUUUAAAUUUCUCAUUUAGUGAUUUUUCCAGUCUUGUUUUCCGUUUCUUCCCACUGGAUUCUUCCAUGUCCGUUAACUGUCAGAUUUUGAACAUCAUCCGAGCAGCAUCAGUUUUUCUUUGUGUAUAAGCAAGGCCGGGUGAAACACCUCUGCCCGUACUGUUCCAUAGAUCUGGCAUGCCCUCUUUGAUGUGUUGACCUUGAAAGAGUCCUGUAUGACAGCAGUUACCACAAAAUGCUCCACAAAAGCAGUGGCAGUAUUCUACUGCGAACCAGUUAAUCCCUCUUCUACUGCUCUUAGUGUCCCUAGCCAUGCCAGAAGCAUCCUGUCAGUGAUGGCCCCUGCCAAUCACUACCACCACCACAAGAAGGUCCUGGGACUUCUUAAUCCAGGCAUAUGUUCUUCUCUCAGCCUUCAGCCACCAUCCACGUUUUCCUUUCCAUUUCACCACUUGUAUAUUUAGGUCAAACUAGCUGUUGCUCCACCAUCCCAACCACAACCCUCCCAUCAAGUUGCCAUCUCUGCUUGGUCUUCCAACACAGAAGCAGAGGGUGGCCUGCUGUCCUGCACCCUCUCUGCAAAGCUGUACAGGCUGAGGUUUUGGUUCAGACAGCUGCUCGCACUGAAACAGGAAAGAACUGAACCGAAAGCAAAGAUGAGGAAGUGGAAGCUCAUGCCAACCGCAAAAGUCACUGUGUCCCCUAGAUGCCCCGCGCUGCAUACCCCAUUUAGAAGAGCUGUGAUAGGGGUGAUGACAAGCUGUGGGUUGUUAACACAUCAGCAAAAGGUGUUGCUCCUCUGCCAUCUCAAAGACUUGUCCUGCAGUUGUAGAAGCAGUGCAUCGAUGGGUUUUACAAACCUCAUCAGCCCUACAGUUUAUGUCCACAGACUAAACUGUUGUGGCGACAGGCAGAGAAAAGGAGAGACUGACGUGCUCCAAUGCCUGAGGCCCCUGCCAUGGCAGGGAAUUGAUUAGUGGGAUAUGCCAAGAUCCUAGCAGGUGAGUUGUGCUGCAGAGGAAGGUGGAAAAUCCCUAAUGUCCCUUUCAAUGUGACCUGGGGAGAAAUUCCUUCCUGACCCCAAAUAUGUUGGCAAAAGUGGGGAGAACGGGGAGGGUAGCCAGUUGUAGGGGAAGAAUGGAUUUAAUUUCUAAAGUCCCUGGUUUGCUCUAGGGUAGGUGGCUGAGAGCAGCUGCUGCUGGAAUUGUGUGCCUGGAGUGGAUGGUAGGUACCCUUUCCCAGCUGGCUCAUACAGGCUACUAAACCUACUGUGGGUGGGGCAUCCCAAGGGAGGAACAGUGGUGUUAAUUUUUGCUGCUGGCAGAGUCCUCCAGACCACAGAGAGCAAGCCAGAGUUCAUUACCCAACUGCUGUGUCUUGCUGCUACCUGGUCCACAGUCCCUGCUCAGACAAGCGGGGCAGGACGUGGGGAUACUAGAGUUCAUUUCUGGUGGAGGGGGGAAGCUUGUCCCAUCUGGAUUCCCUCCACCCAUCCUCCAUUCCCCUACUUGCUUGGUCCUGCAACCACUACCCUGACCGAGGCAGCUUCAAGGGCUUCCCAAUUCCUGUUAUUGCCAUGCUCUCAUGCUGUAACCCCCAUCACAAUUUGAAUCAACUAUUUGUCUGGGUUUGCAGGGAGCCCUGAGGCAUGUCUACACUGCGGCUGAGAGUGUGCCUACGAGCCCGGGUAGACAGACUCACGUUAGCUCAGCUUGAGCGAACGCGCUAAAAAUAACAGUGUUGAUGCUGUGGCUUGGGCAGUCGCUCAGGCAAGCCACCUGAGCUCCGACCCAAGAGCCUGAGCUGCAAUGUCCACACUGCUAUUUUAGCGCGUUCGCUCGAGCUUAGCUUGUGUGAGUCUGUCCGCAUGGGGUCUGACGCUUGCUCCCUGGUGCAAUGUAGACGUAACCUCAAAUUGAUUUUGGCAGAAGAGAAGCUUGGGCAGAGAGUAGGAAAGGGGAGAUGCAAGCAGGAGCUGACUUAUACAGAUCUUUGAAGAUAAAGAGGAGCAGCAGCUUACAUGCUGUUCACAUCCAGCUAAUGCGAGUUAGGUUGGGACCACUAGUGAACAGUGAAAAGGCCACACCAGUCAGGGGCUAGGCUGCUUCAUAGCAGCUGGAGAUUGUGCUAAUUUGGGCUUGGGAGGGAAGAGAGGGAGCUCCUGACCAUUUGGGGAACCAGCCCUAGCCACAACUACAUUUUCAGAGGUACCCCUUGAGUGCAAAUCCAUCUCUCUAGCCUUAUUGGCUGAACAGCUUUCCUGAACAGAGCUGUCCACUUUUGUGCCACUCCAUGUGAGACAUUUUAUGCAAACUAACAAGUUAGUUUGCAAGCAACCUUAAGCUUCAGCUCAAAGGGAAUGUAUCAUGCCACAAGCAGUAGCAGGGGUUGGACAUAGCACUGCACAGAACUUGGCAGCUGUCGCUGGGAGGAUAUCAGGGUGCUGGGGGAAAGCUGAGGGCCAUAUGGCAGCUGUCAAGGGAAACUGGAUGCUGGUGGGGACUGGCAGGGAUUAAGAUGGGAAGGGCUGGACCUCUCCCCACAGGUUGUUGUCGCUCCUUCCCAGCUGUGAUGCAAUAGGGGAGCAGGCACUACAGUGGGCUCUUGUGGCUGUGAGCUGCAGUUGCAGCCAUUUGUGUAGCUCAGCUAAUACUUGGCCUCUCUGCUGGGCUGCAGGAACAGGUGACAAAUGAGUGAGUAUCAAAGAGAUGUGCAAAUGUGGCAGUCCUGCUUGAGGACUUGUCUACAGGAGGAGGGUCAGGCAAGUUAAGACAGUUAAAGCUGUGAAGUUAAUGCAUGUAACUGAAAGUGCAUUAAACCCCUGUCUGGAUGCUCUCGUUCAGAAGUACCACAGUCAUCCUCAAAGGAGGAUUAAACUACAACCAGCUAAAUCCACUUUACUUAUGAACAAGAGAAUCUUGACAAGGAUUUAAUGCACAUUAGCUUCACAGCUUUUUUUGAUUCAUCUCAACUUUCCUGACUGUCCUGCUGUAGACAAACUUUGAGCGGCAUUGUACCAAGUGUACCAUUUCUUAACUAAGCACUAGGCUGUUUUACACUGCUAGUGAAUUGCCCUGUGACAUGCAGAGUCACCCUGUCUACAUGUUUUAGUUCUCCAUACAUCUGUCUGUUCUCUUGCAGAGUGAAUGUAAGGACAAUGCUUUACCCUUACAGGUGUUUGUUUUUACUUGAAUGGGAGCUGGCUCAGACCCUUACUCACCUUUAUCAUGCAAGAUGUUCAUGCUUGACUUGACUUUUCAAACACUCAUUGCUUUGUAAAAAUUGAAACCAAUUUUCUCCAGACCAAGGCUAAUUGCUUACUUGCAGACUUCAGCCAUUUUGCUAUCGCUAUGAUUUUUUCAUCACAAAGAUUUUCACAACAGAGAAUGCAUAUAUUCCCCCACUCGUAAAAUGGAUGCUCAAACUUUCUAAAAAUAUUCAUCUACUCUAACAAGAGGAUUUUGCACUUGACAUUUUUCAUCUCAGGAUCCCAGAGUACUUUACAAAUAUUAAAAAGGUGGGUUUUUAAAAUUGUGUUUCCUGAGGAAUUCUUAUUGAGUCUGCUUUUGCCCUUUAGUAAAUUAGAAUUACAAUAGCAGUGAUGAGUGCUUAGUGCAUACCUGAAAUAAUCCAUACAGUCACAUGACUGAAUCUCACAAUAGGAAUAGCUGGACUAGUGCACAGCCCUAGAUCUUAGUUUCUGAGGCUCAUUGAGUCUUUUAGCUUUGCUUCCACUGGGAAUUCAAAGGGGCCAACUCUGACAGGGGAAAGAAAUGGGUGCCCACCAGUGCAGGGGGAGGGGGAUGGCAUACUUUGAAAUGCAAGAAAUUGAAGCUGUUUCCCAAUUUAAAUAUUCUACCCCAUCGCUUAUUUCUCAGUCUGUGAGAUGAGCCUUCUGGAGCAUUGCAGUAUGAGCAAUGCCAUAAGCAAAGCAUUCCUCCUGGUAGUUUUGAUUUGCUGGUGCCAGGAAUGAGGAAGGGAAGGAACAGUAUGAUUGAUAGGGUUCACUAUAUUUAGUGGGAGUUUGAAAGAAUUGACCCAAUUGCCUCUGGCCUCAAGGAUGGAGUAGGGGUGUCGCUGGGCACGCUCCUUGGUUGAAGCAGGAAUGAAAUUGCUGGAGAUUGUGUCAGUUAGUACUUUAUUCAAAAGCCACAACAUAUUUCUGAAAACUCAACUUCCCCAUUUGGCUGGUAAAAUGGUGCAUAUUGCAACUGCAUCUGGCUUGUGGGGUGAGGUGCUGGGAUGACUUGCCCUUUACCCCAUCCCACUGCAGAGGGCAGGGAAGCUGAGCAAUGCUGAAACUUGAGCUUGUGUGGAGGGAUUUGUUUUGAUGUU